CCUACGGGGGGCAGCAGUGAGGAAUAUUGGUCAAUGGGCGAGAGCCUGAACCAGCCAAGUCGCGUGAAGGAUGACUGUCUUAUGGAUUGUAAACUUCUUUUAUACGGGAAUAACAAGAGUCACGUGUGACUCCCUGCAUGUACCGUAUGAAUAAGCAUCGGCUAACUCCGUGCCAGCAGCCGCGGUAAUACGGAGGAUGCGAGCGUUAUCCGGAUUUAUUGGGUUUAAAGGGUGCGUAGGCGGCCUGUUAAGUCAGCGGUGAAAUCUAGGAGCUUAACUCCUAAAUUGCCAUUGAUACUGGCGGGCUUGAGUGUAGAUGAGGUAGGCGGAAUGCGUGGUGUAGCGGUGGAAUGCAUAGAUAUCACGCAGAACUCCGAUUGCGAAGGCAGCUUACUAAGGUACAACUGACGCUGAAGCACGAAAGCGUGGGUAUCAAACAGGAUUAGAUACCCGAGUAGUC
rnacentral:rRNA from 1 species